GUAUUUUAUAGCUCAGUUGGUUAGAGCAUGGUGAUGACAAUGCCAAGGUUGCAGGUUCGAUCCCCUGUAAGGGACA
rnacentral:tRNA from 1 species